rnacentral:rRNA from 1 species
GCUUACGGCCAUACCAGCCUGUGUACGCCCGAUCUCGUCUGAUCUCGGAAGCUAAGCAGGGUCGGGCCUGGUUAGUACUUGGAUGGGAGACCGCCUGGGAAUACCAGGUGCUGUAAGGA